rnacentral:rRNA from 1 species
UACGUAGGGAGCAAGCGAUGUCCGGAAUCAUUGGGCGUAAAGGGCGCGUAGGCGGCCUGUUAAGUCAAGUGUGAAAAUCAACGGCUCAACCGUUGAACUGCGCUUGAAACUGGCGGGCUAGAGAUCAGGAGAGGAAAGUGGAAUUCCUAGUGUAGCGGUGAAAUGCGUAGAUAUUAGGAAGAACAUCUAUGGCGAAGGCAGCUUUCUGGACUGACACUGACGCUGAGGCGCGAAAGCGUGGGGAGCAAACAGG